rnacentral:rRNA from 1 species
UACGUAGGGACCGAGCGUUGUCCGGAAUCAUUGGGCGUAAAGAGCGUGUAGGCGGCCAACUAAGUCCUGCGUGAAAUCUCGGGGCUCAACCCCGAGCGGUCGUGGGAAACUGGUUGGCUAGAGUGCGGGAGAGGAGAGUGGAAUUCCUGGUGUAGCGGUGAAAUGCGCAGAUAUCAGGAGGAACACCGAUGGCGAAGGCAGGUCUCUGGGCAUUAACUGACGCUGAGGAGCGAAAGCAUGGGGAGCGAACAGG